rfam:Triticum aestivum genome assembly, contig: Triticum_aestivum_CS42_TGACv1_scaffold_289138_4AL
UAGCUACUCCCUCCAUUUCGAAUUACUUGUCGCAGGUAUGGAUGUAUCUAGAUGUAUUUUAGUUCUAGAUACAUCCAUUUCUGCGACGAAUAUUUUGGAACGGAGGGAGUAGUUU